rnacentral:rRNA from 1 species
AAUCAACGCUGGCGGCGUGCCUCAGACAUGCAAGUCGAACGAUUAAAGCUCUCUUCGGAGAGUGCAUAGAGUGGCGCACGGGUGAGUAACACGUAAGUAAUCUACCUUCGAGUGGGGAAUAACGUCCGGAAACGGACGCUAAUACCGCAUAAUGCAGCGGCAUCGCAAGAUGACAGUUGUUAAAGAUUUAUCGCUCGAAGAGGAGCUUGCGGCAGAUUAGCUAGUUGGUAAGGUAAUGGCUUACCAAGGCUACGAUCUGUAACCGGUCUUAGAGGACGGUCGGUCACACUGACACUGAAUAACGGGUCAGACUCCUACGGGAGGCAGCAGGCGGGAAUUUUGGGCGAUGGGCGAAAGCCUGACCCAGCAACGCCGCGUGAAGGAUGAAGUAUUUCGGUAUGUAAACUUCGAAAGAAUGGGAAGAAUAAAUGACGGUACCAUUUAUAAGGUCCGGCUAACUACGUGCCAGCAGCCGCGGUAACAC